CCGGACGAGGCGGAGAUCCUCCCUCGGAGGGUCGGGUGCGUCCGACCCCAAACCCUAGGGGUCGAGCGAGGCGGAGAUCCUCCCUUAGGGGGUCGGGCGCGUCCGAUCCCAAGCCUCAGGGGUCGGGCGAGGCGGAGAUCCUCCCUUGGGGGUCGGGCGCGUCCGAUCCCAAGCCUCAAGGGUCGGGCGAGGCGGAACUCCAAGGAUCAAUCGGCCGAUCCUCGACUGUAGCAUCAUUUGGCCGAUCCUUGACUGUAGCACCAAUCGGCCAAUUUCCAAUCGUCGCCCUUGUAUCUCGCCGCAUCUUCUCUUCUCCCAAUGCCGAUUUUACACGUGUCAAAAUCUGGCGUCAACACAUGCCCCCCAGUUUCGGAGUAAAACAUAGUCUUUACUUCGAAAUUCUUUUCAACUUCCCAUCCGAAACAGACGCCACGAAAACAUCCUUCCGUUUCGCGGUCUCCAACCUGUUGAUUGCAAUCUUUUCGAAACGGGCGCCCACGACAACCACUACUCCCGAAAAACUUGAAACGCCGGCGCGGUAAAAAUUCCACUUUUACCCCUUCUCAGACCGUCUUUAAAUAUCAGCACAUCCCCGUACUCCUUACGAGCUCACGUCCUUCUUCUCCAGCGCACAGGCUUUCUUCUUCCUCCAACACUUUCCUCAAUCCUCCAAUUCUCCAGCGCCUCCUUCCCUUCGCAUUCUCUCCUACUUUUCCAAUGGCAGCACCUUCGGGCACCUCGCAAACGCGCGAAGCUCCAGAAAUGGCGCCUUCGGCGGAGAUUCCAGUAGCGACAACGGUGACUCCAUUGACGGAAGAAGGAGCUCCAUCGGCGAAAGCUGAAGCCUCAUCCGAGAUCCCAUUGGCGGCUUCAUCAUCUGCAGCUGCACCGGCGACUCCGCCGAUUACGAGGAGCUUCAUCCCGGAGGUUAUUACCGAAACCUUCCGUUAUCAGUAGUGCAUUUACCUUAGAUCUAUUUCUU
rnacentral:lncRNA from 1 species